rnacentral:misc_RNA from 1 species
GUCUGCUGCCAAAGACCGGGGCUCAACCUCGGAAAGGCAGUGGAAACUGAACAGCUAGAGUAUGGUAGGGGCAAAGGGAAUUCCUGGUGUAGCGGUGAAAUGCGUAGAGAUCAGGAAGAACAUCGGUGGCGAAGGCGCUUUGCUGGACCAUAACUGACACUCAGGGACGAAAGCUAGGGGAGCGAAUGGGAUUAGAUACCCCAGUAGUCCUAGCCGUAAACGAUGGAUACUGGGUGUUGUCUGUAUCGACCCGGACAGUGCCGUAGCUAACGCGUUAAGUAUCCCGCCUGGGGAGUACGCACGCAAGUGUGAAACUCAAAGGAAUUGACGGGGGCCCGCACAAGCGGUGGAGUAUGUGGUUUAAUUCGAUGCAACGCGAAGAACCUUACCAGGACUUGACAUGUCGCGAAUCCUUUUGAAAGAAAGGAGUGCCUUAGGGAGCGCGAACACAGGUGGUGCAUGGCUGCCGUCAGCUCGUGUCGUGAGAUGUUGGGUUAAGUCCCGCAACGAGCGCAACCCUCGUGUUUAGUUGCCAUCAUUAAGUUGGGAACUCUAAACAGACUGCCGGUGACAAACCGGAGGAAGGUGGGGAUGACGUCAAGUCAGCAUGCCCCUUACGUCCUGGGCUACACACGUACUACAAUGGUAGGGACAGAGGGCAGCCAACUCGCGAGAGUGAGCUAAUCCCGUAAACCCUGCCUCAGUUCAGAUUGCAGGCUGCAACUCGCCUGCAUGAAGGCGGAAUCGCUAGUAAUCGCAGGUCAGCAUACUGCGGUGAAUCCGUUCCCGGGCCUGUACACACCGCCCUUCAC